rnacentral:rRNA from 1 species
CAGCCGCCACGGUAAUACGUAGGGCGCAAGCGUUAUCCGGAAUUAUUGGGCGUAAAGAGCUCGUAGGCGGUUUGUCGCGUCUGCCGUGAAAGUCCGGGGCUCAACCCCGGAUCUGCGGUGGGUACGGGCAGACUAGAGUGAUGUAGGGGAGACUGGAAUUCCUGGUGUAGCGGUGAAAUGCGCAGAUAUCAGGAGGAACACCGAUGGCGAAGGCAGGUCUCUGGGCAUUAACUGACGCUGAGGAGCGAAAGCAUGGGGAGCGAACAGGAUUAGAUACCCGUGUAGUCCCUGUCUCUUAUAC